rnacentral:rRNA from 1 species
UCCUACGGGGGGCAGCAGUAGGGAAUCUUGCACAAUGGGCGAAAGCCUGAUGCAGCGACGCCGCGUGGGGGAUGAAGGCCUUCGGGUUGUAAACCUCUUUUAUUAGGGAAGAAUUAUGACGGUACCUAAUGAAUAAGCAUCGGCUAACUCCGUGCCAGCAGCCGCGGUAAUACGGGGGAUGCAAGCGUUAUCCGGAAUUAUUGGGCGUAAAGAGUCUGUAGGUUGUUUAAUAAGUCUGCUGUUAAAUUUUAGAGCUCAACUCUAAGCCAGCAGUAGAAACUAUCAAACUAGAGUAUGGUAGGGGCAAAGGGAAUUCCCAGUGUAGCGGUGAAAUGCGUAGAUAUUGGGAAGAACACCAGAAGCGAAGGCGCUUUGCUGGGCCAUUACUGACACUCAGAGACGAAAGCUAGGGGAGCAAAUGGGAUUAGAUACCCCAGUAGUCCUAGCUGUAAACGAUGGAUACUAGAUGUUGCGCGUAUCGAUCCGUGCAGUAUCGUAGCUAGCGCGUUAAGUAUCCCGCCUGGGAAGUAUGCUCGCAAGAGUGAAACUCAAAGGAAUUGACGG